GAAGACUGAAGACAGUAAUCAAAAGGGCUAUUUUUAACCAUGGGUUGAUUUAUUUGUUUUUCUUGUACAGCUAUUGCACCUGGAGCCACUGAUGAUGGCUUGAUUAAUUCUCAGUGAUUUUUUUUUCUCCACCUUCCUCCCCACGACUUUUCCGACUGGCAUAAAGUUGUGCUGUGGCAGGCACAGUCACUGGGUGAAGAUAAGUCCCCAGAGAAACUAACCACUUUCAGGUUGCAACUUUGAGCCUGCUCUGUGCCAAGCAUCAGGAGUGACUUUUUGUCUUCAAAGCUGGAGAGACAUUUCCCACCAGUGCAGAUGAAGGUGCCUCUUCCCUCCAAGGCCACAGAAGAGCAGAGGGCAGACAGUGAGCUAAGGUCUGUUCUCACUCCUGAAGUGUUGGCCACUGCCAUGGUGUGCUGCAGUGUACGGCAACAAAGAGCAGCCCUGCAGAAUCCGCGUGUGAACAAAGGCGAGAGCGCCGGGUUUGUCCUCGGCAGGUUCCUGCCCACCCCGUCCAUUCAUCAUCUGAAGAGGAAAUCUGAGGAGCAAAAAGACUAUCCCUCUAAGCUCUAA
rnacentral:lncRNA from 1 species